rnacentral:rRNA from 1 species
AGUGAACGCUGGCGGCGUGCUUAACACAUGCAAGUCGAACGAGAACGGAUUAUAGCUCGCUAUAAUUGUCAGCUAAGUGGCGCACGGGUGAGUAAUGUAUAGGUAAUAUGCCUCUUACUAAGGGAUAACAAAUGGAAACGUUUGCUAAUACCUUAUACUCCUUAUUAACAGAAGUUAAUAAGGGAAAGAUUUAUUGGUAAGAGAUUAGCCUGUAUUGUAUCAGUUAGUUGGUGGGGUAAUGGCUUACCAAGACUAUGACACAUAACUGGUUUGAGAGGAUGGUCAGUCACACUGGAACUGAGACACGGUCCAGACUCCUACGGGAGGCAGCAGUGGGGAAUAUUGCACAAUGGACGAAAGUCUGAUGCAGCAACGCCGCGUGGAGGAUGACACACUUCGGUGCGUAAACUCCUUUUAUAUGAGAAGAUAAUGACGGUAUUAUACGAAUAAGCACCGGCUAACUCCGUGCCAGCAGCCGCAGUAACAC